rnacentral:rRNA from 1 species
UCGAGCGAUUCUCUUCGGAGAAGAGCGGCGGACGGGUGAGUAACGCGUGGGUAACCUGCCCUGNUACACACGGAUAACAUACCGAAAGGUAUGCUAAUACGGGAUAACAUAUUUUAGUCGCAUGGCUGAAAUAUCAAAGCUCUGGCGGUACAGGAUGGACCCGCGUCUGAUUAGCUAGUUGGUGAGGUAAUGGCUCACCAAGGCGACGAUCAGUAGCCGACCUGAGAGGGUGAUCGGCCACACUGGAACUGAGACACGGUCCAGACUCCUACGGGAGGCAGCAGUGGGGAAUAUUGCACAAUGGGCGAAAGCCUGAUGCAGCAACGCCGCGUGAGCGAUGAAGGCCUUCGGGUCGUAAAGCUCUGUCCUCAAGGAAGAUAAUGACGGUACUUGAGGAGGAAGCCCCGGCUAACUACGUGCCAGCAGCCGCGGUAAU